UUCUCAGUGCUGAAUCAGGGAGAAAAGUUGGGCAGGGUGCCUGCGGGGUUCAACUGAGAGAGAGAGAGCACGCAGAGCCUGACGUGGGACAGCGAACACCACACGAAGCAGUAAGAGCAACAGCAAAAUGAUCGUCACCUGAAGGCCUACUAGGGGUCUCCAGGGCUCCCUGUCUGCCCUCACCACGGCCCUGUGAGAUCACUGCAAAGCCACAAGCCUGAGCUAGCCUGCUGGAUGAUGAGACCCAUAUGGACCAGUCCCCAUCAUUAUCCCAGCCUCCAGCCAACCAAUCCCUUGAAGCAGAGCCACCUAGCUGACCUGCAUCUGACCAUAGAUGUGUGAUAUUCUCACUGAAACAGCUGAGACCAGAAGAACUGCCCAGCAGAACCCAGCCCAAAUUACCAACGCACUGCAUUAAAAACUAAAUGAGUGAUUGUUGUCUCGAGCUGCUAAAUUUGGGGGGAAUUUGCUACAUUGGAAAAGAUAACUGGCACGUACCCUCUCAAAGCCUCAGAUUCCUCAAUGGCGUAGUGGAAAUAAUGAAAGUAGAAAUAAUAAAACCUACCUCCUACAUUAAGUGUAACAAUUACAUGAGAUAAUGCUCAUCAAAUGUCUAUGUUACGUUAAGAAUGACAUAACUGUUAACUACCACAGACGUGGGGUAACGAUACUGGAUUUUUUAACGAGCUUAGCACCACCGCACACAGAAGAUCAAUAAAUAGUUUUUAUUGA